GGCCUUUUGGUUGUAAAGCACUUUAAGCGAGGAGGAGGCUACUUGGAUUAAUACUCUAGGAUAGUGGACGUUACUCGCAGAAUAAGCACCGGCUAACUCUGUGCCAGCAGCCGCGGUAAUACAGAGGGUGCGAGCGUUAAUCGGAUUUACUGGGCGUAAAGCGUGCGUAGGCGGCUUCUUAAGUCGGAUGUGAAAUCCCUGAGCUUAACUUAGGAAUUGCAUUCGAUACUGGGAAGCUAGAGUAUGGGAGAGGAUGGUAGAAUUCCAGGUGUAGCGGUGAAAUGCGUAGAGAUCUGGAGGAAUACCGAUGGCGAAGGCAGCCAUCUGGCCUAAUACUGACGCUGAGGUACGAAAGCAUGGGGAGCAAACAGGAUUAGAUACCCUGGUAGUCCAUGCCGUAAACGAUGUCUACUAGCCGUUGGGGCCUUUGAGGCUUUAGUGGCGCAGCUAACGCGAUAAGUAGACCGCCUGGGGAGUACGGUCGCAAGACUAAAACUCAAAUGAAUUGACGGGGGCCCGCACAAGCGGUGGAGCAUGUGGUUUAAUUCGAUGCAACGCGAAGAACCUUACCUGGUCUUGACAUAGUAAGAACUUUCCAGAGAUGGAUUGGUGCCUUCGGGAACUUACAUACAGGUGCUGCAUGGCUGUCGUCAGCUCGUGUCGUGAG
rnacentral:rRNA from 1 species